rnacentral:rRNA from 1 species
UACAGAGGGUGCGAGCGUUAAUCGGAAUUACUGGGCGUAAAGCGCACGUAGGUGGCGACGUAAGUCGGGUGUGAAAGCCCCGGGCUCAACCCGGGAAUAGCAUUUGAUACUGCGAGGCUUGAGUCCGGGAGAGGAUGGCGGAAUUCCCAGUGUAGAGGUGAAAUUCGUAGAUAUUGGGAAGAACACCGGUGGCGAAGGCGGCCAUCUGGACCGGUACUGACGCUGAGGCGCGAAAGCGUGGGGAGCAAACAGG